GUCAUAUACAUAGGAGUACAUGGACCACGACCAGGACUAUGGCUAUGAGGGUUAUGCUUUCGAGCAUCUGGUAAGGAAAUAGAGGAGAGAAAGGCAGCAUUGGCAUGAACGGUAGUGGUAGAGUGCCUAAAGGGCAAAGAUGACCCUACUUGUUGAUACCCAGCCUGCCAAGGUCACUGAAAGAAUCAUCAGGAAGCAGGGCACACAGAUGAUGAUGUAGGUACCGUGGUGCCGAUAGCGGGUGAACCAGUAUCUUUUGGGUCAAAGUAUAGUAUGAGUGACUGGUGGAUGCCAGAAGCAGAGGUGCACGAUCAGGACUAUGCUUACACCACAUUUGAUAUGCACAUGCCCCAAAGUUGGAGUUGAAUUGAUCGAUCGAUGGUCGUACUUGAACACAAACACACCCGAUCAUAAACCAGAUGUUGGAGCUGGAGCUAUGAUGAAGUGGUGACAGUUCGGAUGUGAAGAUGCAAUUGCUGGACUCUUGCAGGGAUAGCUGAUUUAUUUUAUGUGUACAUGAUGUAUUAUGGAAAAAUUGAUUGUAAGGUUAUAAGUUUUCAUAUUACCUGUGGAUUUAAUUAUGGGACUGUAACUAUAAUAUUUAGUAUUACAGUAGUUUGGCUACCACACAUACUUAUGCUUCCUAUAGAUCUUAUAAGCGUACUUUAAUU